UGGGGAAUAUUGCACAAUGGGCGAAAGCCUGAUGCAGCGACGCCGCGUGAGGGAUGACGGCCUUCGGGUAGCAAACCUCCUUCAGUAGGGAUGAAGCGCAAGUGACGGUACCUGCAGAAGAAGCACCGGCUAACUACGUGCCAGCAGCCGCGGUAAUACGUAGGGUGCGAGCGUUGUCCGGAAUUACUGGGCGUAAAGAGCUCGUAGGCGGUUUGUCACGUCGUCUGUGAAUUCCUAGGGCUUAACCAUGUACGUGCAGGCGUUACGGACUGACUUGAUUACUACAGGGGAGACUAGAAUUUCUGGUGUAGCGGUGGAAUGAACAGAUAUCAGGAAGAACACCGAUGGCGAAGGCAGGUCUCUGGGUAGUAACUGACGCUGAGGAGCGAAAGCAUGGGUAGCGAGCAGG
rnacentral:rRNA from 1 species